rnacentral:rRNA from 1 species
GACGAACGCUGGCGGCGUGCUUAACACAUGCAAGUCGAACGGAAAGGCCCUGCUUUUGUGGGGUGCUCGAGUGGCGAACGGGUGAGUAACACGUGAGUAACCUGCCCUUGACUUUGGGAUAACUUUAGGAAACUGGGGCUAAUACCGGAUAGGAGCUCCUGCUGCAUGGUGGGGGUUGGAAAGUUUCGGCGGUUGGGGAUGGACUCGCGGCUUAUCAGCUUGUUGGUGGGGUAGUGGCUUACCAAGGCUUUGACGGGUAGCCGGCCUGAGAGGGUGACCGGCCACAUUGGGACUGAGAUACGGCCCAGACUCCUACGGGAGGCAGCAGUGGGGAAUAUUGCACAAUGGGCGGAAGCCUGAUGCAGCAACGCCGCGUGCGGGAUGACGGCCUUCGGGUUGUAAACCGCUUUCGCCUGUGACGAAGCGUGAGAGACGGUAAUGGGUAAAGAAGCACCGGCUAACUACGUG